UCAUCCUUUGUCAUCAAUUAUCUGAGACAGAUUCUGAAACUGAGCAGUUGCCCAGAGACUGCCGUUACAUCAACUCCAAGAUGCACAUGAGAUGGAAAUAGAGACGGAAUGGGAGCAUAUACCACACUUUACCCACCAGAGAUGCAACACAUUUUCCUAGUUGAAAUUUACAUAGUUCUUUAUUCAUGAAAUUAUAAACAGCUGCUAUUUUGCUGCAUUCUCAAGAAGAUUUGAAAAGGCAGCAAAGAAGAGAACAGACACGUUAGGCAAACUCCAUCUGCCCCUCGUGUCUAACACUUUUUUCCCUGCAGAUAGCAGACAAUGGGGUUACCAGAUGUCAUAGCCUGCUUGGGAAGGACCCAGGAAUUUUGUGUGACCGUCGGCCAGCCAGCACAGGCGAUGCCUCUUUUUCUCUCUGAAAAUUAUAAGUGGGCCCACUCCCGUCCGCUUCCCAAUGGCUGUUCUAAGACACCAGCUCUUCCCAAAGGAAUGCUGACAGUGGAGGAUUCGGGGGGAACUUCAGAAAUGUCACUCCAGUCCAGACCAACGUCCUCUCGCCCUGGCUGCCUCCUGACUUUUGAAGCAGGCUUUACAAUUGUUUUGAUUGUUAAAGAGAUGGAGCACAGGCAACCGGUUCACUAUGAGGGGCCACUUUCUGGUGGGGAGUCAGCAGGCACCCAGCUGGCACCCGUCGUGCAAGGAAGAGGGUGGGAUCCACUUCCAGAGGUUGGAGUGACUUCUAACUCUGGGCUCCCGGAUGAAGGGAAGAUGAGGCCUCCGUGGAAACCAAAGACACUGGUGCUGGAGGGUCCAGGGAAGGCCCAGGAGGAGGAGGGGCUGGCGGGACGCAGGUCUGCCAGAGUGGCUCUGUUCUCGUCCGCUGUGCAUCCUGGGGUUCUGCGUCCGAUCUCAUGUGUAAAGAGAGUUUGAGGGCGGGAUCCAACGACAAGCAGCUGAUCUAGGCCAGAGCAGACAGUCUCUGGCUUUCUUCCCCUAGCCUCCCUGCCAGCCACUUGCUUGGGUGUGAGCGGGGCCAGUCAACAUUCAUCAGGCAAACACUGACCGAGCAGCCACGAGCUGAAGUUAGACUCGGGCUGGAGGUCAGCAGCAUCGCCCGCACCAAGCGUGGCGACGUGUGGUCCAGUGAGGUCCUGUCCCCAGGGCCUCUGCUGUCGGAUCCCACAGAGGGGGCGGUGAGGCCAAGGUGACACAGAAAUUUCCCCGCAGGGUUUGGCCACAGCUGUCGUUUCAU
rnacentral:lncRNA from 1 species